CUUAAAUUGAAGAGUUUGAUCAUGGCUCAGAUUGAACGCUGGCGGCAGGCCUAACACAUGCAAGUCGAGCGGAAACGAGUUAUCAGAACCUUCGGGGAACGAUAGCGGCGUCGAGCG
rnacentral:rRNA from 1 species